AUUGAACGCUGGCGUCAGGCCUAACACAUGCAAGUCGAACGAGUGGCGGACGGGUGAGUAAUGUCUGGGAAACUGCCUGAUGGAGGGGGAUAACUACUGGAAACGGUAGCUAAUACCGCAUACCAUCAGAUUUGCCCAGAUGGGAUUAGCUUGUUGUUGGGGUAACGGCUCACCAAGGCGACGAUCCAUAGCUGGUGUGAGAGGAUGACCAGCCAAACUGGAACGGAGACACGGUCCAGAUUCCUACGUGAGGCAGCAGUGGGGAAUAUUGGACAAUGGGCGCAAGCCUGAUGCAGCCAUGCCGCGUGUAUGAAGAAGGCCUUCGGGUUGUAAAGUACUUUCAGCGGGGAGGCGUUACCAGAAGAAGAAGCACCGGCUAACUCCGUGCCAGCAGCCGCGGUAAUUC
rnacentral:rRNA from 1 species